rnacentral:rRNA from 1 species
AUUGAACGCUGGCGGCAUGCCUUACACAUGCAAGUCGAACGGCAGCACGGGAGCAAUCCUGGUGGCGAGUGGCGAACGGGUGAGUAAUAUAUCGGAACGUGCCCAGUCGUGGGGAUAACGUAGCGAAAGCUACGCUAAUACCGCAUACGAUCUAUGGAUGAAAGCGGGGGAUCGCAAGACCUCGCGCGAUUGGAGCGGCCGAUAUCAGAUUAGGUAGUUGGUGAGGUAAAAGCUCACCAAGCCGACGAUCUGUAGCUGGUUUGAGAGAACGACCAGCACACUGGGACUGAGACACGGCCCAGACUCCUACGGGAGGCGAGCAGUGGGGAAGUUUUUGGACAAUGGGCGAAAGCCUAGAUCCAGCAAUG